rnacentral:rRNA from 1 species
GAUGAACGCUAGCGGCAGGCCUAAUACAUGCAAGUCGAACGGUAACAUGAGUAGCAAUACUUGAUGACGAGUGGCGCACGGGUGCGUAACACGUAUGUAAUCUACCCACAACUGGGGGAUAGCCCGGAGAAAUCCGGAUUAACACCCCAUAACACAACGAAGCGGCAUCGCUUUGUUGUUAAACCUCAGGGGGUUGGUGGAUGAACAUGCGCCCGAUUAGCUAGUUGGCGGGGUAAUGGCCCACCAAGGCAACGAUCGGUAGGGGUACUGAGACGG